UCCCUGGCGGUCCAGUGGUUAAGACUUUGCACUUUGAAUGCAGGGGACACAUGUUCCAUCCUUGCUCGGGGAA
rnacentral:tRNA from 1 species